GUUUAAGCCUCCGCCUCCGACAGUCGCCUCAAUUCGAGGACGUUAGCGCCGAUGGCUUCAUGUAACAAGGACGAUUGGAAUCGGCGACGGUGGAUUCCGACAAAUUCCGGUUAACUCCGGUGAGAACUGGGUGACCUGAGCCAGAGAAUCGCCAAUUCUUGAUGAACAUUAGGAUUCAAGCACUAUGACCCCUUCUCCUUCUCCAAGAUCCCAUUAUAAAACCCCUCUAUCGGCACAAAGCGAUGGAGUUUUUUUGUUACAAGAAAAAGUCUGGUGGAGAGGUCAAAAACAUAUCUCCGGGAGAUAUACAAAUGGUUCAAAAUCUCAUAGAACAGUGACUGCCAUAUUAUACGACUCCGAAGCAGGUCAUAGAUAUUAUCUAUCAGCAAGAGAAAAUAGAAUCGAGCUUUACCACGCUUGGUAUGUGAUUGAAGACUAUUUAUUU